GGACACGGUGCCAAGAGACGACCACGAUAGGCACGAUGAUGGCCAGCGCCAGCCCCAGCCCCAGCAGGACCAUGCUGACCGUGGCUCCGUGUCCCUGGGCCAUGGCUCUGUGGCCCAGGGGGAGAGAGGAGGUGGUCCCACUUCACACAGGAUGCUGAGGCCCAGGGAAUUGGGAGCUGGCCGGCAAGACCGCCCAGAGCCUGGCACUGCAGCCCCCAUUUAUUGCACUGCUUUGCCGCUCACAGGGGAAGCAUGUCCCCCAAAGUCCCACUCCCAGCCCCCCACCCCCAGCGGACAUCUCAUCCCUGGGCUGCUGGUCCACCUUGCCUGCCUGAGUACUCAGUAGCCCGCAGGCUCCCCGCCUUUCCUGGAGUCUGAGGCAGCCGCCCAGCCACCAGCUGUGCGGACAAUGGCCUGUACCACAGCAAUGAAGGUAGAAGUGACCUCGGUGUGGUGGUGCCGGGUCUUCAGGGCUGCAGCCACUGCCUGGGGGUGGGAGGGAGAGGGAGGCCUCAACGGGGGCCCAAGACACCAUCUGAACCACGCCUGUGUGGGCAUGGCUUCCAAAGACACCGGUGGCGCCAUUUCUGUCUGAGUGGCCACGAAGAGCAAGUUGGGGGCAGCUGGGCCGACUGGGUCUCAUCGGAGCAGGUGGCCUGGCCCUCAGAGCAUGGGGUGCAAAGUGGCCCAGGCAGCGGGCAUGAGGGUCAUCUGCCCCAGGCAGAAGACAGCAGCCAUCGUCCACUCCGCAAUGACACAGGAGAUCCAGGCCCUGUUCCAGGAUUCCCAGGGGCCCCCAUUGUGACUCAGCACCACCCCCCCAACCUGGUCAAUGUCUUUCUCCAGCGUCGUGGUGUUGGGCAAAAGCUGGUUGUGCAGCCGGGGCUCCUCCACUGCCUGCUUCACAUCGUAGCCGAACCACAGGCUGUGGAUGAUGGCCUGCGGAUGAGGGGAUGGGGUCAGUGUAGCCCAGCGGGCAAGGGGCUGGGGGCACAGGCAGGUGGCACAUACCAGUGCAGUGGACGUGGUGAUCUGCGUGCCCCCAGAGGCACCCACCACCAUGCGGACCUGGCCGUCCUGACCCACGAUGAUCGCCGGGCACAUGGACGAGAGCGGCUGUUUCCCUGCAGCCGGCCGGUGGGAGGGAGGGGACAGAGGAGCUGGUCAGCUGCCUGCUGGGACACCAGCCGCCUCCCCACCCAAGCCCUGUGCCCACACCUGGCGUGAUGAAGUUGGCCGGUGAGGGGGGCACCCCGAACUUGUUGAUGAUGUUGGGGGAGCUGAAGUCAUCCAUCUCAUCGUUGAACAGGAUCCCAUUGGCCCGUGACAGCACCUUGGAACCGAAGCUGCAGACCAGCUGGGUCAGAGAGCUGUGCCCACCCCUGCCCCGUCCCACCAGCCCCACGUGCCCACCAAAGUGCCAACACGCUCCCUGGGGAGCUGGGGGCAAGCACUCUACCAAUGUGGAGCCCCCCUUCUAGGACACGCAGGCAGCCCCGGCCCA